rnacentral:rRNA from 1 species
UUACCUUUGUUGCUUCCCGCCGGGUUUGCGCCCGGCGGGGAGGUCCACCAAACUCAUGUUUUUCCAUGCAGUCAGUAAGAGCGGCUCGUCCGCGAAAAUUUAAAAGUUAAAACUUUCAACAACGGAUCUCUUGGUUCUCGCAUCGAUGAAGAACGCAGCGAAAUGCGAUAAGUAGUGUGAAUUGCAGAAUUCAGUGAAUCAUCGAAUCUUUGAACGCACAUUGCGCCCUCUGGUAUUCCGGGGGGCAUGCCUGUCCGAGCGUCGUCAAACCCCCUCAAGCUCCUUUGCUUGGUCAUGGCGGAAGAUCCCCUCCCCGGAGGGGUUCCCCGCCCAAAGGAAUCUGGCGGAGAGCCUGGUCCUCGGAGACGUAGUAAGCAAUUCUAUCGUCUGUCGAGCGAUCAUCUCCCAGCCGACAACCCCAAACUCUUCUAGGUUGACCUCGGAUCAGGUAGGGAUACCCGCUGAACUUAAGCAUAUCAAUGAGGCGGAGGANGAUCAUUACCGAGAAAGCGCCCGGGGCCCCGGCCCGGGGCGCUGACUUACAAAACCUCGGGGUACUUUACUUUGUUGCUUCCCGCCGGGUUUGCGCCGGCGGGGAGGUCACAAACUCAUGUUUUUCAUGCGUCAGUAAGAGCGGCUC